rnacentral:rRNA from 1 species
AACGAACGCUAGCGGUGUGGAUUAGGCAUGCAAGUCGCGCGCGAAAGCCUUCGGGCGAGUAAAGCGGCGAAAGGGUGAGUAACACGUAACCAACGUACCCCUCAGACUGGGAGUAACCAACUGGAAACGGUAGGAUAAUACCGGAUGGUCCACUGGGCGAGCAUUGCCUGGCUGGUAAACGGCGGCCGCAAGGCGGUUGCUGAGGGAGCGGGUUGCGGCCUAUCAGCUUGUUGGUGAGGUAACGGCUCACCAAGGCUAUGACGGGUAACAGGCCUGAGAGGAUGAUCUGUCACACUGGGACUGAGACACUGCCCAGACUCCUACGGGAGGCUGCAGUCGAGAAUCUUCCACAAUGGGCGAAAGCCUGAUGGAGCGACACCGCGUGCAGGAUGAAGG